GGAUGUGAGGGUGAUCUGGCUGCAACAUCUGUCACCCCAUUGGUUACCAGGGUUGAUAUGGUGAUCGGCCCUACCUCCCUCCACAUGCAUCCCUCCUGAAGCUGCAAGUAUGGUUAAAGAGGACAACCUUUCUUGAUAGAGGAAGGGUGGUCUUCAGUCAAGGUAUACACAUAGCUAUGCUUCCCUUCUAGAACUUCCCAACAGCUUCAUUAAUGACUAUAGAAAUGAAUGUGAUGUUCAUGCUGGUUUUAUUUUAUUGUUUGUGUUGGGUCAUGGAGGUUAAACUCAGACC
ensembl:misc_RNA 7SK 7SK RNA